rnacentral:tRNA from 3 species
AGCCGUAGAAAGCCCCGUAAGCA